rnacentral:rRNA from 1 species
AUUGAACGCUGGCGGCAUGCUUUACACAUGCAAGUCGUACGGCAGCGCGGGCUUCGGCCUGGCGGCGAGUGGCGAACGGGUGAGUAAUACAUCGGAACGUGCCCAGUAGUGGGGGAUAGCUCGGCGAAAGCCGGAUUAAUACCGCAUACGACCUGAGGGUGAAAGCGGGGGAGCUUUGGACCUCGCGCUAUUGGAGGGGCCGAGGGGAGCUUUGCUAGUUGGUGGGGUAAAGGCCUACCAAGGGGACGAUCGGUAGCUGGUCUGAGAGGAGGACCAGCCACACUGGGACUGAGCCGCGCCCCAGACUCCUACGGGAGGCAGCAGUGGGGAAUUUUGGACAAUAGGCGAAAGCCUGAUCCAGCAAUGCCGCGUGUGUUAUGGAGGCCUUCGGGUUGUAAAGCACUUUUGGCGGGAACGAAAAGGACUGUGCCAAUACCACGGUUCGAUGACGGUACCCGCAGAAUAAGCACCGGCUAACUACGUG